rnacentral:rRNA from 1 species
GGCGGACGGGUGAGUAACGCGUGGAUAAUCUGCCCCUCAGUUGGGAAUAACUCAUCGAAAGGUGGGAUAAUACCGAAUAAUGCUGCAUGACCUAGGUCGUGUAGCCAAAGAUGGCCUCUGCUUGCAUGCUGUCGCUGAAGGAUGAGUCCGCGUACCAUUAGCUAGUUGGUAGGGUAAUGGCCUACCAAGGCUACGAUGGUUAGCUGGUCUGAGAGGAUGAUCAGCCACACUGGAACUGAGAUACGGUCCAGACUCCUACGGGAGGCAGCAGUGAGGAAUCUUGCGCAAUGGGGGCAACCCUGACGCAGCAACGCCGCGUGAGUGAAGAAGGCCUUCGGGUCGUAAAGCUCUGUC